rnacentral:rRNA from 1 species
UACGAAGGGGGCUAGCGUUGCUCGGAAUCACUGGGCGUAAAGCGCGUGCAGGCGGCUGGGUAAGUUGGAUGUGAAAUCUCCUGGCUCAACUGGGAGAGGCCGUUCAAUACUACCUGGCUUGAGGGCGACAGAGGGAGGUGGAAUUCCGGGUGUAGUGGUGAAAUGCGUAGAUAUCCGGAGGAACACCAGAGGCGAAGGCGACCUCCUGGGUCGUACCUGACGCUGAGAUGCGAAAGCUAGGGGAGCAAACGGG